AUCCAGUAACCAAAAGACUUGGGA
rnacentral:siRNA from 1 species